GAUAAAAUGACCGAGUUGUAGGUAUUAAAUUGUAAAUUUAACAACGAAGAAUUUUCUUCUUUUAUCA
rnacentral:tRNA from 1 species